ACGCUCGACACCUACGGGAGGCAGCAGUGGGGAAUAUUGCACAAUGGGGGAAACCCUGAUGCAGCGACGCCGCGUGAGUGAAGAAGUAUUUCGGUAUGUAAAGCUCUAUCAGCAGGGAANAAAAUGACGGUACCUGAGUAAGAAGCCCCGGCUAACUACGUGCCACAGCCGCGGUAAUCUGAGCGGGCUGGCAAGGC
rnacentral:rRNA from 1 species